rnacentral:rRNA from 1 species
AAAGGGCUGCAGUAUUUUGACUGUACAAAGGUAGCAUAAUCAUUAGUCUCUUAAUUGGUGACUUGUAUGAAGGAUUGGAUGAGAUAUAUACUGUCUCUAAUUAAUUUAUAAAAUUUAAUUUUUUAGUAAAAAAGCUAAAAUAAUUUUAAAAGACGAGAAGACCCUAUAGAGUUUAAUAAUUUAUUUAAUUAUUAUUAAUAUAUAAAUUUUAAAAUUAAAAUUAAAUAAAUUAUUUUAUUGGGGUGAUAGAAAAAUUAAAUUAACUUUUUUUUUAUAUUAAACAUUAAUUUAUGAUUAUAUGAUCCAUUAUUAUUGAUUAUAAGAAAAAAUUACCUUAGGGAUAACAGCGUAAUUUUUUUUUUUAGUUCAAAUAGGAAAAAAAGUUUGCGACCUCGAUGUUGAAUUAAGAUAAAAUUUAAAUGCAAA